GAUUAAAAGGAAAAGCAAUGGCUUUUGCUACUAACUAUAUUUCCCUCUCUUCCGUUUUCUCAUACCCGAAUGAAACUGAAGUGUUCUUCACAAGAAAUAAAUCUACAUGGAAAUUCUUGCUUUCGAAGGAUUGCUUCAAAAUGGGUAGGAUCAAUUGUAAGCUAUCAGAUAGUGGAAUCGAGAAAAAACCCACUGGAAAAGAUGUGUCAUUGAGCUCAACGAACAGGAUGGAAGAGUACAAUACAGCCAUGAAAAGGAUGAUGAGGAACCCAUAUGAGUACCAUCAUGAUCUUGGUAUGAACUACACACUGAUAACCAAUAGUUUGAUUGUGGGUUCCCAGCCUCAGAAAACUGAAGAUAUAGAUCAUCUGAAACACGAAGAAAAUGUGGCCUACAUUCUAAAUUUGCAGCAGGACAAGGACAUUGAGUAUUGGGGUAUUGAUUUGCAGUCUAUAAUAAAAAGAUGUCAAGAACUCGAAAUCCUUCAUAUGAGAAGGCCUGCCACAGAUUUUGAUCCAGACUCCUUGAGAAGAAUGUUACCCAAGGCUGUUUCAUCAUUGGAAUGGGCCAUUUCUGAGGGGAAAGGCAGAGUGUAUGUGCACUGCACAGCUGGACUGGGAAGGGCACCUGCUGUUGCAAUUGCUUACUUGUUCUGGUUUCAGGAAAUGAAUCUGAACACAGCUUAUGAUGAACUAACUUCAAAGCGACCUUGUGGACCUAAUAAAAGAUCAAUACGAGGAGCAACUUACGAUCUUGCCAAGAAUGAUCAAUGGAAGGAGCCGUUUGAUAAUCUUCCAGAACAUGCUUUUGGAGAUAUAGCAGAUUGGGAGAGGAACUUGAUUCAUGAGCGUGUUCGUUCUCUUCGUGGAACCUGAACAUUCAGACUUUCGCUUCAGUUACAAGUGAUCCCUGGCACCAGAAUCCCACAUAGGAAAUACAAUGACGAUAAAUCGUACACAUAGCUUGUACCAACUUCUCUAGCGAGAUUAGCAGCUAAAAACAUGACAAAGCUGCUACGGGGUCUUUUGCGAUGAGAACGGCCUAGGGAAGCAAUAGCAUGUUUACAAUAAACUCUGGAGUCUAUCAAGGAAUCUACACCCAUAACUACUCUGUGCAACCGUUGUAUAUACAAUAAAUACUAUGUACAACAAUUGCAUUGAAAGAGAUAAUAAAGGUGGCACCAAGAUGUGCAAUCAAACAGUCAAA